CAAAGGAAUUGACGGGGACCCGCACAAGCGGUGGAGCAUGUGGUUUAAUGCGACAAUAAGCGAAGAACCUUACCGGGACUUGACAUGUACCUGCACGCCUAUGGAAACAUAGGUUCCUUCGAUGGUGGUACACAGGUGCUGCAUGGUUGUCGUCAGCUCGUGUCGUGAGAUGUACAGUUAAGUCUGAUAACGAGCGCAACCCCUAUCUUAUGUUACACUUUCAUAAGAGACCUGCCAUGGAUAACAUGGAGGAAGGUGGGGAUGACGUCAAAUCCGCAUGGCUCUUAUCGUUCCGGGCCACACACGU
rnacentral:rRNA from 1 species